rnacentral:misc_RNA from 1 species
UUAGUUGUGGUGGUCGGCCAAUAAAUUGUGGUGGUCAAAAGCAAAGCAAAGAGUACACAUAAAACGAAAACGGAGAUGUUAAAAAUAAAAUAGAGAAAACGGAAACAGUCAUUUAAAUUGCGAGUGGUAAUCAAGCGGAUUAAGCAUAGUUCCAAUCCACAACUAUUUUUUGGCUUUCGGUAUAAAAAUAACAACAACAACAGUCAACUACGCACCGACAACGGACACCAACACUAAGAACCAACACCGACACUGACACCGACGACCGACGUACGAUUAACGCCCUCCCUACGCUCCGCACUUUUGGCACCCGCACACACACUGACGCACACACGCAUACACUCCUCUCUACAAAUAAUCAUCAUCAUCAUCAUCAUCAUCAUUAUCAUCAUCAUUGCACAGGCGAAGGCACAAGGCACAUAAACACUCAAACACUUAUCUAUAUACCGCGUUUAUCAACGCCGCCCGUCUCCGCCACCGCUGCUGACCCACCACCUCCCACACCCCACCAACCUGAUCCACAACAUCAACUUUGUUUGCUAUUGUUGUCUGCUGCUGCUGUCAUUUGUUUUGUUUCCUUAAAUGUGAACGCACACACACACACGCACGCACGCACGCAAACACCUACACAUACGCGCAAAAUACGAAGGAGCAAACAAAGGCGACGGCUCGAAAAGAAAAGAAAAAAACUGCAACAAAACAACGGAGAGAGCGAGCGAGAGUGACUCCAUUGAGAGCGAAAGCAAAAAGUGCAAUAGAGAGCGCAAGUUUAAAAGUGCAAACUUAAAUAACAAAACGAUCAGCGAUCGCGGGGCGUAGGGCCAGUGGGGGGCAGAGGCCGUGCGAGAAAGUCAAACUCAAACUCUAUGGGUCAAAAGGCAAGCACACCAGCGACCAGCGGCCAGCAGAGCCCACGCUCCAGAACAUUUUCCAGCAGCUCAACGGGUGCAACCGCAACCGACACAACGCCGCAAAGUUCAGCGGUUGGUGGCCGCGGCGGCGAUGCCGGUCAGGGAUUUAACUUGCUGCGCACACUGCCGGGUCUGCAGGUCUAUCACCACCAUCAUAAUCAGCAGAACUCCACGUCCAUAGACCGACAGCGUGCUCGCAGCCUUAGCUCUGUGCCAGAUAUACAACAGCAGCAGCAGCAGCAACAACAACAACAGCAGCAGCAGCAACAACAACAGCAGCAACAGCAACAACAGCAGGGAUCCACAACGUAUCCGCACACACAUCCCGCCGUCUCAGUCUCUGUGUCAGCUAAUUCAAAUAGCAAUAGUUUCCAAGUGGCAGCCGGCAACAACAACGGCUCAUCGGCUGCCGCACAAAGCUACAUGCAACAGAGACGCGCUUUUGGUGACUCAAUACGCGAGAUGUCCAUGACCGGCGCCAAUAUCGUUGAGAGCAUCGCAAUGGCCGCAUCUGCAACAUCUGCGAAUGGCAUCGGUCGUGUGUACACAGCGACAUCGCUGCCAUCGCACAUUUGGUCCUUCAAUGGCAUCAAGUGUCCCGUGUGCAAUAAGUUCGUGUUGCCAGACGAUAUUGAAUGCCAUUUAGUUAUGUGCCUAACAAAACCCAGACUCUCAUAUAAUGAGGAUACAUUAAUGGACGCCAAGGGCGAGUGCGUCAUAUGCCUUGAAGACUUGAGUCCAGGUGAUACAAUUGCUCGAUUGCCAUGUCUAUGCAUAUACCACAAAGGCUGCAUUGAUCGUUGGUUUGAGGUGAAUCGCUCCUGUCCCGAGCAUCCAGGAGAUUAGUAAAAGUCUCAUUAGUGAUAUGAAUAAUUGCAUAUAGCAGUCAAGCGGUCUAUAGAAAGAUGUUAAUAUUUAAUGUAUUCUUUUUGUGUAUGUAAUGUGCAUAUUGAUAUGUAAAUAGCUCGUUAAGUCGUUUAACGUCUAAGUGGGCAGUGCGUAGAGCGAGUGCCAUAAACAAAACUGGAUGAUAGACGACUUUUGAGCAAGCAUUUGUUAGCAACAAAAAGCCAACAUUGUAAAGAUCAUCAAUUGUUAAAUGGAAUGGAAAAUGAAGUGAGAGGAGAGGCUACGACAAGCAAAAUCUGGAUCGAGCGAUCGAUCGUUUUGACCUACCGACCGACUGUUUAUGCAAAUCCACAAGAAAACAAACACAAAUCAAUUGAAACAAAUUAAUUUACAAUGCUAUCAUAACUAGAAAGUGCAACGUCAACAAACAAAGGACAAAGGACAAAAGUGAACGAAACCAACCAACCCACAAAAACAAAACAAAAAAAAAAACAAAAAAACAGAAAAGAAACAAAUAACAAAGCUAAAUCAACACGAUGUUAAGAAUGAUGUAAAGAUAAAGUUAAUGAUGAUGAAAGUGCAUGAAAGCGAAGCAACCAACCAACCAACAAAAGAAUGUCAACCAAUGUGAUGUUAAAUUUUAUAUUUUGUACUAUGGAUAUGAUGUAAUUGUAAUGUAAUGUAUAUGUAUGU